rnacentral:rRNA from 1 species
AUGUUCGUCCUGAUUCAUGAUAACGAAUGCCUCAAGGAUGAGCUCAAGGCCAUGCAAGCAUUCCUGCUCGUGAUGGCAGACGUGGAGGAACCUGACCACCAAGCUAAGCUUCAUGUUGAUGUUGUGCAAGAGUUGUUCUAUGCGAUCGAAGACAAAAUCGACAAGUUUAUGUUACUUAUGAACCAUGAUCCAAUUCUAAGUCGGAAAGCUAUGAGGAGAUUCUUGAAAAAAUCAAGACAAAGAUAA